GUAGUAAAGCGAGCGCCGCCGUGCGCUCCAGUAUCUACUGCGCUUGCAAACAACGUGCCUCAACAAUGACAGAGAAGACAUCCGACACUUGUGCAUCAAAGUGUCUUCAACUUCCGAGGGAACCCAUGACAUAACCUUAUUCAGCACCCGCAGUCAUUUCCAUAUCUACGGUUCAACUAGCUGCAGGCAGAAGCGCCGCGCCCACCUGCCGCUCGCUGCCGUGCACGGCGGCGCAGUCGAAGUGGCGGUAGCCCACGUCCACGGCGUCCCUCACCGCCCGCUCCACGCGCUCCACCGGCAUCUGCGCGUCAGUCCGUCAGAACACAGCGGUGCUCUCGCGCCAGUUUGCU